GGCUUCGUUGUGUGGAUGGGUGCAGGGUUAAUUCGAUUUAAUGCUGCUAAAUUCAAACUAAACUCUUAAUGUAGACCAGACCUGAAAUGCAGCGGCAGCAGGGGUGGAACGUGCAGUUAUCUAAGAGCACACAGCAAAAUCAUCAAACGGUUUAGAACAGGAAGUGAAAUUAGCACUGCAGCCAAUUGACACUAUAGGAGUAAUAUUAGGCAGAAUUCAAAUUUGGCCAGGGGACUAGCAACUCAUGCCAUGGAUAUGGUAAUGAUCACAGAAAGCCAGAACAUGGCGUUAAAGUUUUAUCCAAAGGAUAGUACCUGUAGUAGUGCAGCACAUCCUAAGACGAUACUUGUUCAAUACUUACUCACAGGAAGGGACAAGAUCACCCUCUACCAAGUCACCAGCAUCACUUAUUGUGACACCUGAUGUUUCUUUGGAGGUCUCUAAGUCAAGUACUGUCCAAGCCUGACUCUGUUUGGCUUGGCAGCCAAGUAACUUGGGAGCUGAGAAAAACACUGCCGACAAUAUAUCCUCCUUGUUUACUCUGACCAAAAUAGAUCUGGCACAAUGGCUCAGGAAUGAACUAAUCGGCAGAGAAUUAAUUGGCAUGUUUGUUCAAAGGCAGAAACAACUCGAGGAACAAAUCCCAGGCUGGAUGGCUCCAGGGGGCUCAAGCUGCCAGAAAGGAACACGGCAUAGUGGAAACUAUGGAUGGUAAGAGCGGUUGCACAACCAUGCUGGAUGCCAAAGAGUUGUGUGCUGUGCAAUGGGGAACCAGGGGCACGGAGGAGAGGAGGCCCCUCAAGAGAGGGUCCACUUUAAAAAGGAACUCCACUGCCACUGAUGGAUGUUUUCACUUCCGUAAGGCUCCCAUGUGUCUGAGGAGAUGUUCAGCUUGAAUGGGCGGGAGGGGAGGGCAAGAAAGAGCAGCUAGAAGAGGUUCCAAAGAAAGCUUGGAGAAAUGUGUAAAGCAGAGAUAUGAAGAGGGACACGUCACACACUACAAGCUGAAAUCCAAAGUGGGCGGUGAGGAGAGAAGAAAAAGAGAGAGAGAGAAUUUGAAACCUCAUCACAGGAUUGUCCUCUGGAGUCCAGAAGUAAGGAGCUGAAGGCCCAGCUAGCCUCCAUCAUGGGUGUUCUCCCAGUUCUCCUCUUCUUCCUCCUCCUACUCAACUGUAGUUGUCAGAAGGACUUUCUGAAUCAGCUUCAGAGGUGGAACUACAGAGAAGGAGGUAAGAGACACAGACAGGGGGAAUCAGAGAAAGAGUAUGGAGAAGAUUAUCUUCAAGUGGCUGAUGAAGGUUUAGCAGACAAAGUCAACAUCCACGGCAUUAACAGUGUCACUCGUAUGCUGGAGAAAUGGGGGAACAGUAUCUUCUGGCAAAUGAAACACUCCUUGUUGAGUCACCCUAACACUCUGCUGCCUGAGUUCUCCAGCCUCCAUCCCGUCUCCAAGGCACUUGAUGACCUUCUGAAGGAAGUACGUUCAAUGAAGAAGAGGCUGGAAGAGCUGAAUGAACGACUCAGUGUAAUGAGCAGGGCCUUCUCUCCUAUCCGAUUCAAUGCCCUGAGGGGACGGAGGCUCAGCAGUGUGCAGCUGAGAAGACUCCCUUUCCAGAGGAGGAGGAUGUACAUCCGCAGGAGAGUUCAGCGGAAUUAGCUCUCUUACAGAGAAAAAAAAAGAAACAUUUCUGUCUUUCUCUCUUCUGCAAGCCUUUAUCAAUGAGAGACUAUUAGACUGAAUAAAGUAUGAGUGAGAGUCUGGAUGCCUCAGGAGAUUGGCAAUUAUGGGUUAUGGAGAUGCCUUUCAAAUGUAGGUCAUUGGGUCAAACCCAGUCUAGCUCUGUGAUGAUGGCUGUGUUGUUACCCAUGUGUGAUGAGUUGUUGAUCUCAAUCCAGUUAAGUGUUUGUAUAUUUCUCCUAUACAGUCGUCCCCACAUUUCCUUUGGAUUGCCAACUAUAUUCCUUCUAUGCAGAUCAGAUGCCUUUUUCUCUCUGUCCUACUUCACAGAGAACUAUGGACUCAGGGGUUGGGGGAUCAUGUAUACCUAUGGACACGUAGGCCAAAAUUUUCAAAUGUUAGGCACCUAACUUCACAUUUAGGUACCAAAAUAAAAGUGACUUGAUUUUCAGUGUACUGAGCAUUUGACUUCAGGGAGAAUUGUGCUUGCUUAGCUCCUCUGAAAACAAACCAGACCACUUUUAUUUAGAUGCGUAACGUUAAAGCAGCUACAAUUGAAAAUUUUGGUCUCAAUCUAUAAACUGUACAUAUAAAGCAUGUUCUGUUGAUAAGCAGAUUUUUUAGAGUGUGAGGGAGGAGGAACUUCACAAGGCAUUGGAUAACAGGGAACAGUGCCUACAUUUUCAAACAUUGCUAGUGGUUUAGGGUGCCUCAGUUUUGGGGGGCCCACUUUUAGACACUGUAUGGGGCUUGGUUUUUAUAAAGUGCCAAGCACCCACCUGCUGAAAAUCAGGUCCCUUUUAAGCAUCUAUUUAGGGGUGCCAAAAAUCACUAAUCACUUUUGCAAUGUAGGCCCUGAUCUUGACAGCAGUCUUUAAAACACUACACGGCCAACCAAGCCACUUGGGCCCAGAUCCUCAAAUGUAUAUAGGCACCUCACUCACACUGAUUUCAGUGGGAGUUAGGCUCCUUAAUACAGUUGAGGAUCUGGGUCUUGGAGACCAGGGGCCAGAUUUUCAAAGGUAUUUAGGCUCCUAAAGAUGCAGAUAGGUGCCUAGUUUGAUUCUCAGAAGUGCCUCUGUAGGUUAGGUGCCGAACUCACCUGGUUACAGUCUGUCCCCAGAUGAUUAACCAAGGAAUUCUGAGAGGAGUUUUCCUGGUUCAGUUAUAGCACAGAUCUAUCACCCAGUGAGCAUAUGAUACCUACCCUUGUAACCACUAUAUUUAGUUUUGUUUGACUUUAAUGUGGAUUUCUGGACCAGUCAGAUGGUUAGCACUCUUAGCUGUAAUGAGAGAGACCUGGGUUUGAUUUAGGAGAAAAUGGAAGAUUUUCUUUCCAGUAAACUUCUGUGAAGUACUUCUCCUCCUAAGGCCUUACAGCUCAGGAGUUUCCUUGACUCACAGGACUUCCCUCUUUAAGUUGAUCAGUGAAACUCCAUUUGAAUAGCAGUAGGAAGUUGUCGGAAAAUGAUGCACUCUCUCCUUCCUUAGUCACCCUCCCUGCAGUGUUUCUGCUCUUGCUAGCCUUGGGAAGAAAGUGAGAGACUAUUGAGCACACAAACAAAUCAUGAUUUGGAUUUCUGAGCCAAUGAAACUCCUGUGUCUUACCUCUCCUCACUGACCAAAAUAUAGGCUCACAAUGGGAGAAAUUUGCCCCUGUGCAGAGGAGCCACACAGGUCCUAUGCAUCACUUAAGUUCUAGUUAAGGCCUCACAACAUGGUUUAGGUGGGACAUAAGUGGUAGACAGCCCUUGUGUGGACCUUCUGCAUAGGGGAGAAUUUCACCCAACGAAAAUUAGAUGAAAAUUACGCAAAGUGGUGAUGAAGUGGCUGAUCUCUUGCCGUCUGACAUAGGAGAAGACUAAACAAAAGACAGGAAAUAACAGUUUUUCUCUCAAGACCCUGGGUAAAAGUACUCUUCUUAUGAAAAGGUAAAGGGAGUUGACAAAGCGACACUUUCAUUUCUAUUGCUACCAAAAGUGAUGCCAUGGACCAAAUAAGUCCAAAGGUAAUUGUCCUGCCCUGUACAGAACUAGUGAAAUUCACCUACAAUAUUGAACUCUGUUCCGGUUGAGUUCAUACCUGAAAUGUUAGUAAACUGGCAGAAAAUUCAGAGAGGAAAGACCCCCCGCCCCUAUUAAAGGGCUGAAUGGAAUAACAUGAAAAAAGAAAGAGCAUUGUAUCUAGAUUAGCUAAAUGGCUAGUACGAGGGCAACAUGACAAUUGUUUGCAAAUAUUUUAAGGGGCAGAAAAGGAUGAUAAACAAAAAUAUUUUAAGGGGCAGAAAAGGAUGAUAGGAACAUGCUACUGUACCUCUGAAUGAAUGUGUCCUCAUCUUCUGUCAAGAACUGCAAGUAAUACAUUUCAUAAUUUUUUUAAGUAAAUGACUGAAUAGAAUAACAGGAAAUAAAGACUAUCUCAGCAUUUGCUCUGUUAUUACAUAUUAUCAAUUCUCACAUUGUAUUGCACAGAACUCCCACUCUGCUUAGUGGUAGUGUCUUGCACAUGUUGCUUGCAGGACUGGGGUUAUGGUUUUAAAGUCUGUUGACUGCUUUGGGAUCUCUGGAUAAGAGACACUGAAAAUGUCAGUUUUCAUUAUUUGUUCAUCUUUCAGGUAUGGAGAUCCCAUUGCCAGGUUUCCUGAAUCUGUACAGAUGGAAAAUAUUGGUCAGAUGUGAAACUAUUCAGCUCACAGAACCCACUCAUAAUAUUUUGUUAAAGAAUAAAAUAAAUUUUAAUGUGGA